CCUUAGCUGAAGGCACACACUUAACGACCAAGCCACCCAGGCACCCCUCAAGACCUGUAAGUUUUGCCUAAACUGCAGUGAAUAGAGGUGUCUGAAGUUAUGUAAAGUCUAAAAAACACGAUGUCUAAUACAAAACACCACAGACCUAACAAACUCAGUUCCAGCCCAACUGCUCUCUUCAUGUUCUUACCAGAUAACCUCAUUCCCUACUUACCCAGAAGCUUCAACUUCCAACCAGCAAAUGUGCAGAAGCUCUCCUCAUUCCUUUACUUUACAAUAAAACUAUGUUUCCUCCUAUAAAUGAUCUAUUGUUUCUAUUGAUCCCCUACCCAGCAACAGUCCUCAAAGUUAUCUGGAGUUGCCAGGCCACUGGAGAUCCAUACACCUGUUCAGGAUACAUGGUAAUUAAAGCAAUAUCGUAGUCGGGACUGCUGAGGUGACCAGUCCUUCUCAUUAUGUUCACAACUGCAUUGAUGGUGCAUAAUUAGAGGUGGGUAAAACUGCUGGUGCUUGAGCACAAAUCAAGGUAGUGGCACCAAACUGUACCAGUGUUCGUUAGAUUUCUCACAUUUAUGCACUCACAGUAAAAAGACAAAAAAAAGAAGAUCAAUAGGCCAAUUUCAUUUAAGAAUGUUCAUAAUGAAGCAAAAAUGAUUAUUGAUUUUAUAAAAUCUCCAACCUUGGGGCACCUGGGUGGCUCAGUUAAGCUUCUCUUUUAAAUUUUUAAGCAGAUUUUUA